UACAGAGGGGGCAAGCGUUGUUCGGAAUUACUGGGCGUAAAGGGCGCGUAGGCGGCCUGUUAAGUCGAACGUGAAAUCCCCGGGCUCAAUCCGGGAACUGCGUCCGAUACUGGCAGGCUUGAAUCCGGGAGAGGGAUGCGGAAUUCCAGGUGUAGCGGUGAAAUGCGUAGAUAUCUGGAGGAACACCGGUGGCGAAGGCGGCAUCCUGGACCGGCAUUGACGCUGAGGCGCGAAAGCCAGGGGAGCAAACGGG
rnacentral:rRNA from 1 species